UCUUAAAAAAAAAAAAAUCUCUGGACUGUACAAUAAUUGAAAUGAAAAAACUCACCAGAAAAAAAUGAAAAGAACUCACCAGAGUGGUUCAAUGGCAGAUUUGCACAGGCAGAAGAAAGAAUCAGUGAACUUGAAGAUAAGGCUGGCGACAUUAUUCUCCCUGAAGAGCACAAAGGAAAAAGAAUGAGGAAAAAUGAACAGUCCCCUCCAGGAGUUGGGCGACAUCAACAAAUUAGCAGCAUCCGGAUACCAAGAGACCCAGAAGAAGAGAGAAAGGAGCAGAGAGAUUAUUUGAAGUAAAGAUGGCUGAAAACUUCUCAGAUUGAUGAAAGACUACCUCUACACAUGGAGACGCUCAAUGGACUUCAAGGAAGAAAAACUCAAAGGGACCCACUAUCUCUUCAGGGUGAAGGGAAAUGAGGACAUUGCCAGAUAAAGGAAGUUAAGGGAUUUUGUUAUCAGUAGACCUGCCUACAAGAAAUCCUACAAGCAAACCCUUCAGGCUGAAUGAGAGAACACUAGACAGUAACUAAAAGCCAUAGGGAAAGUAAAGAGCUGAAGGAGAGGGAGUCGGAGACUUGACUACGUGACUUGAACAAUGGCUGGGAGAAUCCGGGUGGACGAUGGCUCGGGACAGAGGACUUAAACCACACUCUGUCAGACCCGGCACACAGAAGCGGAGGCCUUCACAAUGGCAGCCAGGCACACGAGCUUCUCAAGGGCACAUGGGACAUUCCCCAGGACAUGCCAUCUGUGAGGCCACGAAACAAGUCCUAAUAAAUUGUAAAGAAUGAAA